rnacentral:rRNA from 1 species
GAUGAACGCUAGCGGCAGGCCUAAUACAUGCAAGUCGAACGCUCAGUAGCAAUACUGGGAGUGGCGCACGGGUGCGUAACGCGUACACAAUCUACCUCUAAGCGGGGGACACCUCCUGGAAACGGGGAUUAAUACCGCAUAAUAUGCCGAGGUCGCAUGACUUUGGUAUUAAAGCAGCAAUGCACUUAGAGAUGAGUGUGCGUCCCAUUAGGUAGUUGGUGAGGUAACGGCUCACCAAGCCUAUGAUGGGUAGCCGGUCUGAGAGGAUGGGUCGGCCACACGGGCACUGAGACACGGGCCCGACUCCUACGGGAGGCAGCAGUAA